rnacentral:piRNA from 1 species
UGGACGACCUGGAGUAAUAGA